UAGCACAAGGAAGAUUCCACCCCCCAGUGCAAGCCUAAUGCCUGCAGCUGGUUGGACUUUAAGUUUUUGGAACUUUUGGAUAAACGACCCAAGGCACACUUGGGCCACCGUACU
rnacentral:tRNA from 1 species